CAAGAAUAGCAUAUUACUUUGAUGUAAUUGCUGGUACAAGUACAAGUGGUUUGGUUGCCACGAUGCUUACAGCUCCUAAAAAGAACAAUCAUAAAUAACCUUUGUAUGCAGCGAAAGAUAUUGUCUCCUUCUAUAAAGAUCAUGCACCAAAAAUCUUCCCUCAAUCAAAGUUUCCACUUAAGUCUUUAAGAUCAGCAACGGAUGUUUUAUGCUAGGUGUACUCGAUCAAUUUCUAUCGGUAUGUUCAUGGGGUUUAAAGAACUUGAAGGGGAUGAUGAUAUAAGGGAGGAAUUCCCAUGCCCAUUUUGCCCAGGAUAUCUUGAUACAGUCGG